AUUGAACGCUGGCGGCAGGCUUAACACAUGCAAGUCGAGCGGGGGGAGGUAGCUUGCUACCGGACCUAGCGGCGGACGGGUGAGUAAUGCUUAGGAAUCUGCCUAUUAGUGGGGGACAACAUCUCGAAAGGGAUGCUAAUACCGCAUACGUCCUACGGGAGAAAGCAGGGGAUCUUCGGACCUUGCGCUAAUAGAUGAGCCUAAGUCGGAUUAGCUAGUUGGUGGGGUAAAGGCCUACCAAGGCGACGAUCUGUAGCGGGUCUGAGAGGAUGAUCCGCCGCACUGGGACUGAGACACGGCCCAGACUCCUACGGGAGGUAGCAGUGGGGAAUAUUGGACAAUGGGGGGAACCCUGAUCCAGCCAUGCCGCGUGUGUGAAGAAGGCCUUAUGGUUGUAAAGCACUUUAAGCGAGGAGGAGGCUACUUUAGUUAAUACCUAGAGAUAGUGGACGUUACUCGCAGAAUAAGCACCGGCUAACUCUGUGCCAGCAGCCGCGGUAA
rnacentral:rRNA from 1 species